rnacentral:rRNA from 1 species
CACGUAGGGGGCGAGCGUUGUCCGGAUUUAUUGGGCGUAAAGAGCUCGUAGGUGGUUUGGUAAGUCGGAUGUGAAAUCUCCAGGCUCAACCUGGAGGGGUCAUUCGAUACUGCCAUGACUAGAGGUCGGUAGGGGAGUGUGGAAUUCCUGGUGGAGCGGUGAAAUGCGCAGAUAUCAGGAGGAACACCCGUAGCGAAGGCGGCACUCUGGGCCGAAUCUGACACUGAGGAGCGAAAGCGUGGGGAGCGAACAGG